rnacentral:rRNA from 1 species
UACGUAGGGGGCAAGCGUUAUCCAGAUUUACUGGGCGUAAAGCGCGUGUAGGCGGCUGGUUAGGUGUGAUGUGAAAUCUUCGGGCUCAACCCGAAAACUGCAUUGCAAACCGGCCUGGCUAGAGUGCAGGAGAGGGAAGCGGAAUUCCAGGUGUAGCGGUGAAAUGCGUAGAUAUCUGGAGGAAUACCGGUGGCGAAGGCGGCAUCCUGGACCGACAUUGACGCUGAACGGCGAAAGCUAGGGGAGCAAACGGG